CUACGGGCGGCAGCAGUGAGGAAUAUUGCGCAAUGGGGGAAACCCUGACGCAGCGACGCCGCGUGGAUGAUGAAGGCCUUAGGGUCGUAAAAUCCUGUCAGGUGGGAAGAAGUGGAUAUAGAUUAAUACUCUAUUUCUUUGACGGUACCACCAAAGGAAGCACCGGCUAACUCCGUGCCAGCAGCCGCGGUAAUACGGAGGGUGCAAACGUUGUUCGGAAUUACUGGGCGUAAAGCGCGCGUAGGCGGUUUGUUAAGUCGGAUGUGAAAGUCCAUGGCUCAACUAUGGAAGUGCAUUUGGAACUGGCAGACUUGAGUACUGGAGGGGGUGAUGGAAUUCCCGGUGUAGAGGUGAAAUUCGUAGAUAUCGGGAGGAAUACCGGUGGCGAAGGCGAUCACCUGGCCAGAUACUGACGCUGAGGUGCGAAAGCGUGGGGAGCAAACAGGAUUAGAUACCCGGGUAGUC
rnacentral:rRNA from 1 species